GAUGAAGAACGCAGCGAAAUGCGAUAAGUAAUGUGAAUUGCAGAAUUCAGUGAAUCAUCGAAUCUUUGAACGCACAUUGCGCCCGUCAGUAUUCUGGCGGGCAUGCCUGUUCGAGCGUCAUUACGCCCCUCAAGUCCCCUGUGGACUUGGUGUUGGGGAUCGGCGAGGCUGGUUUUCCAGCACAGCCGUCCCUUAAAUUAAUUGGCGGUCUCGCCGUGGCCCUCCUCUGCGCAGUAGUAACACUCGCAACAGGAGCCCGGCGCGGUCCACUGCCGUAAAACCCCCCAACUUUUUAUAGUUGACCUCGAAUCAGGUAGGACUACCCGCUGAACUUAAGCAUAUCAAUAAGCGGAGGA
rnacentral:misc_RNA from 1 species